GGCGCAUUGGCAGAGUGGUCAUGCAGCGGAUUGCAAAUCCGCCCACACCCCGGUUCGAGUCCGGGAUGCGCCU
rnacentral:tRNA from 1 species